rnacentral:rRNA from 1 species
AGAGUUUGAUCCUGGCUCAGAACGAACGCUGGCGGCAGGCUUAACACAUGCAAGUCGAACGGGCGUCGCAAGACGUCAGUGGCAGACGGGUGAGUAACGCGUGGGAACAUACCCUCCGGUUCGGAAUAACUCAGGGAAACUUGAGCUAAUACCGGAUACGGCUGAGAGGCGAAAGAUUGAUCGCCGGAGGAUUGGCCCGCGUCCGAUUAGCUUGUUGGCGGGGUAACGGCCCACCAAGGCGACGAUCGGUAGCUGGUCUGAGAGGAUGAUCAGCCACAUUGGGACUGAGACACGGCCCAAACUCCUACGGGAGGCAGCAGUGGGGAGUAUUGGACAAUGGGCGCAAGCCUGAUCCAGCCAUGCCGCGUGAGUGAUGACGGCCUUAGGGUUGUAAAGCUCUUUCGCUCGGGACGAUAAUGACGGUACCGAGAGAAGAAGCCCCGGCUAACUUCGUGCCAGCAGCCGCGGUAAUACGAAGGGGGCUAGCGUUGUUCGGAAUUACUGGGCGUAAAGCGCGUGUAGGCGGGUCUUUAAGUCAGGGGUGAAAUGCCAAGGCUCAACCUUGGAACUGCCUUUGAUACUGGAGAUCUUGAGUCCGGGAGAGGUGAGUGGAACUGCGAGUGUAGAGGUGAAAUUCGUAGAUAUUCGCAAGAACACCAGUGGCGAAGGCGGCUCACUGGCCCGGAACUGACGCUGAGACGCGAAAGCGUGGGGAGCAAACAGGAUUAGAUACCCCCGUAGUCC